ensembl:miRNA
UUAGGUUGGUGAAAAGUAAUUGUGGUUUUUGCCAUUGAAAGUAAUGGCAAAACCACAAUUACUUUUGCACCAACCU